rnacentral:rRNA from 1 species
GACGAACGCUGGCGGCGCUGCUUAACACAUGCAAGUCAAACGGAAAGGCCCUGCUUUUGUGGGGUGCUCGAGUGGCCAACGGUUGAGUAACACAUGAGUAACCUGCCCUUGACUUUGGGAUAACUUCAUGAAACUGGGGCUAAUACCGGAUAGGAGCUCCUGCUGCAUGGUGGGGGUUGGAAAGUUUCGACGGAUGGGGAUGGACUCUCGCCCUAUCAGCUUGUUGGUGGGGUAGUGGCUUACCAAGGCUUUGACAGGUAGCCGGCCUGAGAGGGUGACCGGCCACAUUGGAACUGACAUACGGUCCAGACUCCUACGGUAGGCACCACUGUGGAAUAUUGCACAAUGGGCGGAAGCCUGAUGCAUCAACCCCUCGAGCGGGAUGACGGCCUUCGAGAUGUAAACCGCUUUCUCCUGUGACUACGCGUGAGUGACGGUGAUGCCUAAAGAAGCACCGGCUAACUACAUGCCAUUCACCUCGAUGAUACCUAUGGUGCUACCGUUGUCCGUAUUUAUUGCGCGUAAAGGCCUCACAGGUGCCUGAUCACGUCCGAAGACUAUCUUGCGUCUUUAACGUGGAGGUGCUUUGGAAACUGUUUAACUUGAGUGCAGAGGGGGAGAGAGGAAUUCCCUGUGUAGCGGUGAAAUGCGUACAUAUAUGGAGGAACACCGGUGGCGAAAGCGGCUCUCUGGUCUGCAACUGACACUGAGGCUCGAAAGCGUGGGGAGCGAACAGGAUUAUAUACCCUGGUAGUCCACGCCGUAAACGAUGAGUGCUAGGUGUUAGGCCCUUUCCGGGGCUUACUGCCGCAGCUAACGCAUUAAUCACUCCGCCUGGGGAGUACGACCGCAAGGUUGAAACUCAAAGGAAUUGACGGGGGCCCGCACAAGCGGCGGAGCAUGUGGUUUAAUUCGAUGCAACGCGUAGAACCUUACCCGGGUUUGACAUCCCGAUGCCCGCUCAGAGAUGGGUGUGCCUCUUCCGUACACCGGUUCACAGGUGGUGCAUGGUUGUCGUCAGCUCGUGUCGUGAGAUGUUGGGUUAAGUCCCGCAACGAGCGCAACCCUUAUUGUUAGUUGCCAUCAUUCAGUUGGGCACUCAGUGGAGACUGCCGGGGUCAUCUCGGAGGAAGGUGGGGAUGACGUCAAGUCAUCAUGCCCCUUAUGACCUGGGCUACACGCAUGGUACAAUGGCUGGUACAGAGAGUGGCGAGCCUGUGAGGGUGAGCUAAUCUCGGAAAGCCGGUCUCAGUUCGGAUUGUAAGCUGCAACUCGACCUCAUGAAGUCGGAGUCGCUAGUAAUCGCAGAUCAGCAACGGUGCGGUGAAUACGUUCCCGGGGCU